CUGGCGCACGGGUGAGUAACACGUAUGCAACCUGGCCGUCACAGGUGGAUAACCGGAAGAAAUUCCGACUAAUACAGCAUAACACUCCUGAGGGACAUCCCUUGGGAGUCAAAGGAGGCAACUCCGGUGACGGAUGGGCAUGCGGCGCAUUAGGUAGUUGGUAGGGUAACGGCCUACCAAGCCGACGAUGCGUAGGGGUUCUGAGAGGAAGGUCCCCCACAUUGGAACUGAGACACGGUCCAAACUCCUACGGGAGGCAGCAG
rnacentral:rRNA from 1 species